GCCUUCGUGGUGUAGUGGCAGCACACUCGGUUCGUAUUCGAGAGGUUCGUGGUUCGAGUCCUGGCGAAGCUG
rnacentral:tRNA from 1 species